rnacentral:rRNA from 1 species
UACGUAGGGGGCAAGCGUUGUCCGGAUUUAUUUGGGCGUAAAGAGCGUGUAGGCGGCCUGAAAGGUCAGCUGUGAAAACUCGAGGCUCAACCUCGAGACGUCGGUUGAAACCAUCUGGCUAGAGUCCGGAAGAGGAGAGUGGAAUUCCCGGUGUAGCGGUGAAAUGACGCAGAUAUCGGGAAGAACACCCGUGGCGAAGGCGGCUCUCUGGGACGGUACUGACGCUGAGACGCGAAAGCGUGGGGAGCG